CUUCACCGAGCCGAGCCACAGCGGCUGCUCGCGAUCCUGACCGUAGGUGGCGAUCAGGGCCUCGGCCUC
rnacentral:antisense_RNA from 1 species